AGCAGAGUGGCCUAGUGGAAAGAGCAUGGGACUGAGAAUCAGAGGCCCUGGGUUCUAAUUCUGGCUCUGCCA
rnacentral:tRNA from 1 species